GGGCGUUUAGCGCAGUGGUAGCGCGUAUGCUUUGCAAGACUUUCUUGCACCCUCCUGUAUAAGGUCCAGGGUUCAAUCCCCUGAACGUCCA